rnacentral:tRNA from 1 species
GCCCGGGUGGCUUAGCUGGACAUAGCGCCGCACUCAUAGUGCGGAACGCCUUGGAAGCCUCCGCCCCGCGCG